CAAUAGCGUAUAUUAAAGUUGUUGCAGUUAAAAAGCUCGUAGUUGAAUUUCUGGCGGGCGCGCCGGUCUUCCAAGUGUUGUACUGGGCGCAGUCCGCCAUCCUUGUGGAGAGGGCUCGCAUUGAGUUGCGUGUCGGAUCUGCAUCAUUUACUGUGAAAAAAUUAGAGUGUUUAAAGCAGGCUGUCGCUUGAAUACAUUAGCAUGGAAUAAUAAGAUAGGACUUCGGUCUAUUUUGUUGGUUGCGAACCGAGGUAAUGAUUAAUAGGGAUAGUUGGGGGUAUUCAUAUUUAAUUAUCAGAGGUGAAAUUCUUGGAUUUAUGAAAGAUGAACAACUGCGAAAGCAUUUACCAAGGAUGUUUUCAUUAA
rnacentral:rRNA from 1 species